rnacentral:lncRNA from 1 species
UUCUCACUUGAUUGGUUCAUGUAUGAAAUAAAAGAGGAUCAAUGGGGAAAGAGCUCGAAUGGAGACUGUUGACCAUGAACGGUUAUGGGCCCGUGGUAAGAUGUAACAUAGUACCAACUUUCUUUCUUGAGGAAAAAUGUAAUGACUUUGAGAACUUUAGCAAUGACACAUUUUAUUUCUAUAUGGGGACAGUUUAUAUUAGGGGUGCAGAUGGGUCGAGUUGGACUGGGUCCUGAGUGACCCCAAUCCAACCUAGUUUCUUGAUCGGGUCCUAAUUUUAGACCCAGACCCAACCUAAUAGAAGAUCGGAUCGGGUCAAAUCGGGUCCAUGGCUACAAUUUUUGACCGAUGGAGCAUUCAGGUCGGGUCGGGUGCAUGUACAACCGAGUUCUAACCUAAAAAAUUUGAGUCUAGUUCGGGUCCAAACCCAUUCAACCUUUCUUUCCUUUCUGGUCCCUAUUCCUCUACUCUCCCUCCGAUGCUUGGCCCCCUUCGACCCCUGCCGCCCUCCUCCUUCUCAAUCUUGCCACCGCCACCUACUUCCAACCACCGUCUCCCCCCCUCCGCCAUGGCUUUGUUAGAAGUAUGCCCUAGAAGCCAAUGUGGCUGACACAUAUUUGUAAUCUGGAGCAUAAAUUUUUAAUUUGACACUUAUUAAUAAAUAAGAUUGGGCAAUUUGUUUAUCAUUCAUGUUUGUAUGUGUCCAUGAAUCGUCCAAGAAAUUAAUAGAUGAUGACACAUAUUCUCAAGGAGUUGAGAAUUUGAGGCAUGUGUCAUUAGGUAUUAAUUUCUAAAUGCUCCUGACCGAUGGAUCUAUCACGAGGGACGAUGAUCGAUCCGCUGAGAUUGGUGCACAGAUUACUUAGUCAGAUGGACGAGUCUUGAGUCCACGGUGUAGAGGCACUGGAGUGAUUGUGCGAGUACUUGUUAGAGAACAAGGUACUGAGCGUGACCAAAAAAAGUAGUCACAUGGAUGUCUAUCCACUCGUCAGUGACUACUUAUGCUGCAGUUGUAUGACUGGUCAUUUGACUUGUGAUGCCUCGGCUAUUCACUGUGAGGUUGCUGUAGUUUGACGAGCACGCGGACUUGGGCCCUAGCCAUUCGGGUCCUUGUGGUGCGAAUUGGCUGCAGUAGGUUCAUUUUGGAAUAGGGUUGCAUCUAGAUGGGAUCUAUCGACCUUGAUAGAUUAGGAGUGAUCCUAUGUGAUUUAUGAGACUGAGUUCGAUAAAUUUCUGACCAGAUAUUUUGGAAAAAGAGUUUUCCAUAUCUCGAACUGGAAGUCCAAUAAAUUAGAUAUAUGACAGAUGAUGGAAUUUCACAAGUUAUCCAUAACCUCCGUCAUUUUGGGAUCCAUGAUAGAGGGACUGUAUCAUACGCUAACUGCACCUAGAGGUUCAGAUAUUCCAUUUUGCUGGGUUGCCACCAUAUACUACUAGGUGUCACUAGUGGAUUGUGAGACUCGAAGGAAUUCACUUGGUGAUCGGUGAACCCUGAGAGUAGAACUAAAAUUGUUUCAAUCCACUAAAAAGAGUUUCAGUGAUAUUGAGAGAGAGAUCUCAAUAUAUCUCACUACCAGAUAGAAUAGAACCUACGGGGUCAUACACAUAGAGGAUUUAAUUAGUCAGAUUAUCAUAAUUAUGAUUUAGAAUCAUAAUUAAAGUCAAUUAUCAAUAUGAUUGGUGAUUGAAUUAACCCACUAAGUGCUAGUGAGUUAAUGGAAUAAGAAUUAAGUGGAAUUAAUUGCAAUUGGAUUGCAAUUGGCGGAUUUAAUGAGCCAAAUCAAAUUGGGUUCGACCCAAAUUGAUUUGGAUUCAUGAUUGGGUCAAUUUGAUUAAACCAGAGUUUGUACGGAUUUUAAAAUCCACAUGUCGUUGUAGGAUGAAUAUGACUUAAGUCGUGUUCACACUAUGCGGACUUUAAAGUCCACAUGGCGUCGUAAGAUGCUUGCUCCCAAUUAAUUAUCCUAAUGUGAUUAGGAGUUAGCUUAAGUCCUAAUUUGAUUAGGAAUUAGGUGAAAGAAUAGAUGCCCUAUAAGCCAAUCGCAAUAUGUAUUGCGAAAGAUUUUUCUUUUGAUUUUCCAAAUCAUAUAUGUGAUAUUUAAUUAUAAAUAAAGGCAUUAUAUUUCUAAAUAUGUUAUUUCUUAUAUUUGUGAUGAACCCCUUAGAUUAGGGCAAUGGUUUUAGGGAUAUGAUGAGAUCAUACUGGUGAGACCUAAAAUCCUAAAAUCCUAAUCUUAAGUAUUCCCAGUCGUUGGUACAUUGAGUCGGAGAUCAAUGCUACCGGCAAGACUGGCACAUCUUAUGUAUGCUCGAUGCAGAGGGUGAUUGAUCUCACAAUCACUUGUGUGAGACAGUCAUACAAAGAUGUGGAUGCUCAUUACAGGAAUGAGUUUACUGAAUUGAUUUGCAAAGAGAAAUCUUAUGAAGUCUCACUUACAUGUCAAAAGAUGAUUCUCUUAGUGGGAGUUGUGCAACUGAUCCUUUGACCUGAGAUCACCAUGGUAUCUUGUGCACAUGAAUCCAUGUUUUGGUUUACAUUCAUUCAUGACAAUAAGUUGUG